rnacentral:rRNA from 1 species
AGCGAACGCUGGCGGCAGGCCUAACACAUGCAAGUCGAACGGACCCUUCGGGGUUAGUGGCGGACGGGUGAGUAACACGUGGGAACGUGCCUUUAGGUUCGGAAUAGCUCCUGGAAACGGGUGGUAAUGCCGAAUGUGCCCUUCGGGGGAAAGAUUUAUCGCCUUUAGAGCGGCCCGCGUCUGAUUAGCUAGUUGGUGAGGUAAUGGCUCACCAAGGCGACGAUCAGUAGCUGGUCUGAGAGGAUGACCAGCCACAUUGGGACUGAGACACGGCCCAAACUCCUACGGGAGGCAGCAGUGGGGAAUAUUGGACAAUGGGCGCAAGCCUGAUCCAGCCAUGCCGCGUGAGUGAUGAAGGUCUUAGGAUUGUAAAGCUCUUUCACCGGAGAAGAUAAUGACGGUAUCCGGAGAAGAAACCCCGGCUAACUUCGUGCCAGCCGCCGCGUAACAC